rnacentral:rRNA from 1 species
UACGAGGGGGGCAAGCGUUGUUCGGAAUUAUUGGGCGUAAAGGGCGCGUAGGCGGUUUGGCAAGUUUCGUGUGAAAUCUUUCGGGCUCAACUCGAAGUCUGCACGGAAAACUGCCGGGCUUGAGUAUGGGAGAGGUGAGUGGAAUUUCCGGUGUAGCGGUGAAAUGCGUAGAUAUCGUGAGGAACACCAGAGGCGAAGGCGGCUACCUGGACAAUUGCUGACGCUCAGG